GUCUGCAAUGACCUUACUCAGCACUGGACCCUAUAUACUACAAUACUCACCUUCCCAGAGAUGUAUCAACUGGUCUAAUAAUGAAUGAAGGGUAUCUGGAUAAUCAGUUGCUUUUGGAUUGGACUUAAGGCCUGAUCCACAGGAAGAAUUAAUCCUUGCUACUAUAAACCUGGUUCCUGCUGCUCUUAAUCUUGCUCAUAGAAAGUUCCUUUCCUCAGUGGGCAGCAGUUAAUGGAAAAACUUAUUACUCAUCAAAAUUUUAAAAUGAGUGAUGGCUGGGUGCCCAGCCCUAAAUGGGACACCUAUAUUAAGACCCCUGCCUAAGGCUUAGAGAACAUCUCAGAAGAGUCAGAAAGAAUGCAAAAGCAGAUGCCGACCCACACCCUGUGAAGCAUCCUUAUCCCAGCUGGUGGCCAUGUGCCUUCCACUGAAGGAAGAAAAUCAAUUCUUAUCCUGUCAAUACACAGCAGGGAGAGGUCUGUGGGGCUCUUUUCUUAGGAAAAUCAGCCAGAGUGUGGAGAGCUUUUCCUGUCACCAUUUAGGAAUGUGAAGCCUGACUGCUCUGAACACGUAACUUUAGCAGAACACAAAUAAUGUUUGGAGUUGGGAUGUCAUUUCACCAAAAAUGCAACAGACUUUAUUUUCAUCUCUGGGUCUCUCAUUCAGGUACAGCUAACAAAAACCGCCUUUAUUCUUCCCAUUGCCUCCUGUGCUUUCAGUCUGUCCUGAGACUGGCUUGGAAACUGUGUGAGUAAAUCUGAUCUCUGUGAACAGUCAACAGUCACUGCAUGUUCUCAACAGAGGUUUUAGGUAGGUGGAGAAUGUGCCUCAGCAAUUAGGAUUCCCUCAUAAGAUAGAUGAAAAUUCACAUGCCUCAUCAUCAUAACUCAGACUUAUCAUGCACUUCCUCCAUGCUAUGUUACCAGUAUUUCAGUGUUUGCCUCAGUUUCUUCUACAAGUGGAGAGAACUGGCCAAUGGCAUGAACACAGCAGACUUUUGACACAGUACACUCUUAUUGUUUUCUCUCUGAAUAUCUGUAACACAUGCCUAUAGAGAGUUUCAGGAAGUAUUUGAUAAAUAACAUGAUCAAUUAAUCAGUUAAGCAUACUAUGAAUCUUAGACAUAAAGAAAAGAAAAUUAAUGAGUCAAAAAGUUUCCACAUAUUUGGUUGAUAGACCCUAAGACACUCAAACAAGCUAUAUAUUUCUAGUGUCAACAAAUGAUAUUUGAGACAAUAUAUUUUCUAUACUGAAUGUCAUUCAUGAUUUUGUAUUCAUUUAUUUAAAAUGGCUCCAAAUUAUAAAACAUUGUUAAUCGUUUAGCUUUGGACAUACCCAGUCUGAUACCAUCUCUUAAGGAGCUAAUAUGUCUUGAAUUUGUUAAUUCAUUUCUUUAAUAAAUUUAGUGCUUCCAUUUUAUCAGGAUAUAAAAGUCCCUUCACACCUUUUUGUAAUGAACUUUAAUAUCAUUUCUUUUUCUUUAAUUUUUUAUGAUUGAACAUUAAAGAAAGAAGUUUGUGAUGAACUAAAAGCAUAUACAGAAGAGAAUCAGAGGUGUCCCCCUUGGCAGGCCAGAACAGAUAGAUUCCCAUUACCACACAUCUCCCAGGUAGUAGAGCUGGAGGAGAUGCAGGAUCUCCUCCAGCCCAUGGAGCUUUGUUUUUGUAACUGGAAUCUCUUUGCUAAACUAAAUCUAAACUUAAAUAGAUCUAAAUCAGAUAGAAUUUAAAUUUAUUGUUGCAUUUGAAAGCCACGUCUGACAUGACUGAUCUAUGCAACAAUUUAACACAGAAAAUGUGACCUAAUAUAAAUGGGCAAAGAUAAUUUGCCACUCACAUUGCACCUUUAUUCCAGACCCACAGCCAUUUUAUAAAAAUCUAAGAAAAUUAAAAUGUCACCGCUAUACCCCCAAACAGGACAAGCAUCUCCACGGUAUAGAAAUCUAAAAGAUUACAAUGGUGUCAGAGACAGAGCUGGUUCCAUUUCAAGUGACAAGAGGGACAGAGGCAAGCUGUGGUGGAAGUGGGGUUAUUGCCUGAGCUAUAGCAGAUAACAUUCGGAGUUCAGUUUUAGGGAUACUGGUUUGGAUGGUGGACUAAUUACUUUUCCAUGUCUGUCAUCCAAACUUCUGUCCAAAUAUCUUAAAGGAGGAAGGGUAUGUGUUUGACUCACACAAAAGGACCUUCAUGGUCACAUGGCCCCAUGUGCUUGGGCAGAAUUUCACUGUGGCAGGGGCUGUAGCUCAUCAUGUCAUGGUAGACAGGAAGCAUAGAGAAAAGAUACAGCCCCUAAG